rnacentral:rRNA from 1 species
CCUAUCAACUUUCAAUGCCACUUUCUGCUCCUACCAUGGUGACCACGGGUAACGGGGAAUCAGGGUUCGAUUCCG